GAGGUAAAUGCCAAAUUUGGUCAGAUUAAGCAAUUGUGCCCAGAUUCCCAACUGACAAAUAGAAGAAAAUGGUGCCAAGCCAGACUACUUGGCAGUCUUCACAGUUCCCUGGGCCCUUUUAUUUAUCUUGAAUCCUGUAUCUAUAAAUGACACAAGAAAGCAGAAGCUAAGAGAGUAUUACUAAGAAGACCAGAAGGUGAAGGGAUCUCAUGGAUUCAGCAUCAGCUGGGAAGACAUGAGUCAGCACCAGAGAACCUACUUUCAUCUAUGGACUCCAUGGACCCCUGCACAGCAUUGUGGUUAUGUCCAUGAAUAAGCAUCCCACAAAAAUAUGGGCCCAUUUCUCUGUCAC